rnacentral:rRNA from 1 species
UACGUAGGGGGCAAGCGUUGUCCGGAUUUAUUGGGCGUAAAGAGCGUGUAGGCGGCCAUACAGGUCAGCUGUGAAAACUCGAGGCUCAACCUCGAGACGUCGGUUGAAACCGUAUGGCUAGAGUCCGGAAGAGGAGAGUGGAAUUCCCGGUGUAGCGGUGAAAUGCGCAGAUAGUCGGAAGAACACCCGUGGCGAAGGCGGCUCUCUGGGACGGUACUGACGCUGAGACGCGAAAGCGUGGGGAGCGAACAGG